rnacentral:rRNA from 1 species
GAUGAACGCUGGCGGCGUGCCUAAUACAUGCAAGUCGAGCGAACAGACGAGGAGCUUGCUCCUCUGACGUUAGCGGCGGACGGGUGAGUAACACGUGGAUAACCUACCUAUAAGACUGGGAUAACUUCGGGAAACCGGAGCUAAUACCGGAUAAUAUAUUGAACCGCAUGGUUCAAUAGUGAAAGACGGUUUUGCUGUCACUUAUAGAUGGAUCCGCGCCGCAUUAGCUAGUUGGUAAGGUAACGGCUUACCAAGGCAACGAUGCGUAGCCGACCUGAGAGGGUGAUCGGCCACACUGGAACUGAGACACGGUUCAGACUCCUACGGGAGGCAGCAGGAGGGAAUCUUCCGGCAUGGGCGAAAGCCUUACGGAGCAACGCCGCGUGAGUGAUGAAGGUCUUCGGAUCGUAAAACUCUGUUAUUAGGGAAGAACAAAUGUGUAAGUAACUAUGCACGUCUUGACGGUACCUAAUCAGAAAGCCACGGCUAACUACGUG